rnacentral:lncRNA from 1 species
UGGUAUGGACUAGACUAGAGAUCAUUUCAAUUUGCUUAAUGGUGGCUUAAUAGUGAGUAGACAGCGCGUUUUCACACUGAUAUUGAUGCCGAUUGCUUGUUUUCUGAUAGCUUUUCUUUUUAUUUCACAAUCCAAGAGGCUAAUCGUAAGAAAUCAUGAAUCUGAAAAUAUUUUUGAUUGAGCAGCUAGGUUUUGCUAUCUGGGAACCACCUCAUGGAUGCUAUAAAAAGCUUGAUUAUCCAUGGAGAAACUAUGUCAAAGUGAGUGGUGCACUGAGGCAUUGUGCAUUCAUGGUCAUGGCGCUACAUGGAUGCCUCCUCUCUGAAAUUCAGGUAAAUAAAAGUAGAACUUCGAAGAUACAUAACUUCUGUAAGUUAUUGAUUUAUUAUUUUCAGAAUUUCUUAACAAGAAAGAAUCAGCAAAAGGUUUAGUUCAUUUAUGCUUAGGCACCACCAGAAAAGAGGCAGGCUUUCUGCAGGGAACUUAAAAGGGUUGGUGCAGAGGGUGCAAAAGUUUUACACGUGCUGGGGAGCAAAAUCGAGACUAUGCAAAAGUUGAACUCAGAUGACAUACUCGAACAAGUUCACGAGGCAGCCCAACAGUUGCAGAAGAGAAUAGAUCAAAAAUCAUAUCUUCUAGUCAAAUCAGAAACCUGGGAAAUUGGUAAUCGCUCUCAAGAAGUAGCAGAUAAUGAGAAUGUUCCCACUGAAAAUGAUGAUCAUCAAGAGUUGCAUUUAGUGCUUAAGUCCCUUAGUGAAACUGUACUUGAUCCGAGAUCAAUGCCAAUGUUGACAUCAAAUUUGGACACAAAAGACAUGACGACUUACACGUUAAGGAAGCAAGUGCCUUGGCCUUCGUGUUUUGCCCUCGACAAUGAAUCUUUGAUUCGGAAGGAUGAAAUCAAGACAUAUGAAAGUGCGAGUGC